AACGAACGCUGGCGGCAGGCUUAACACAUGCAAGUCGAACGGGUGCAGUAAUGCAUCAGUGGCAGACGGGUGAGUAACACGUGGGAACCUUCCUCGGGGUACGGAACAACUCAGGGAAACUUGAGCUAAUACCGUAUACGUCCGUGAGGAGAAAGAUUUAUCGCCCUGAGACGGGCCCGCGUCGGAUUAGCUAGUUGGUGGGGUAACGGCCUACCAAGGCGACGAUCCGUAGCUGAUCUUAGAGGAUGAUCAGCCACACUGGGACUGAGACACGGCCCAGACUCCUACGGGAGGCAGCAGUGGGGAAUCUUGGACAAUGGGCGCAAGCCUGAUCCAGCCAUGCCGCGUGAGUGAAGAAGGUCUUCGGAUUGUAAAGCUCUUUUGCCAGGGACGAUAAUGACGGUACCUGGAGAAUAAGCCCCGGCAAACUUCGUGCCAGCCGCCGCCGUAA
rnacentral:rRNA from 1 species